rnacentral:rRNA from 1 species
AAUCAACGCUGGCGGCGUGCCUAACACAUGCAAGUCGCACGAGAAAGGGGAGCAAUCCCUGAGUAAAGUGGCGCACGGGUGAGUAACACGUGAAUCAUCUACCUCCGAGUGGGGAAUAACUGAGAGAAAUCUUAGCUAAUACCGCAUAACACUUACGAGUCAAAGCAGCAAUGCGCUUGGAGAGGAGUUCGCGGCCGAUUAGUUAGUUGGCGGGGUAANGGCCCACCAAGACGAUGAUCGGUAUCCGGCCUGAGAGGGCGCACGGACACACUGGAACUGAAACACGGUCCAGACUCCUACGGGA